GGUGUUUGUAUGGGUGGGUGGGUGAGGGGGAGAGGGCUCAGCUUCGCCUUUGCUCAUUCAUCUUACUGUAUCCUCAUCAUCUCUUAUCACCAGAUCGACUUGUCCUGACAAGUCAGCUGCCCUGGUUAUCACCCAUGAAGAAUGGCAUGACCAUCCGAGGACAAGGUCUUUAUAAUUAGGACAUAAUUGAAAAGGUUUCCAAGAGAGCAAAGCGAGGACUCCAGUUUGGUACCCAUAGCAGCCUUGAUUGCUCAAAGGCGCAUGUCAGCCUUGGUUAUUGAUCAUUGCCCCACAUUGGAAUUUUACUUAUUCAUAAUUGAGGGGCACUCAGGUAGAAACGUAUGAUAUAUAACUGACUUUGCAUAUUAGUCUUAACAUUAACCCAUAGAAACCAACCCCUACCCUAUCUUGCCGCACAUAUUACCCAUCUUGAUGCAAGAGCAUCUCCAACAAUUUAUCCGUGCAUGAAAAAAAGAAGGUACACACGCGCAAAGAUAUGCAGACGACCUCUACUUAUCAUGGGGGGGCAAAGAUAUGUGGAUGACCGCUACUAGUUAAUAUCUAUUGGAAAGGUUGCAAAAACAGAUUUUUCAGGAUUACUCCCUUUGUCCCAAAAUAAGUGCACUUCUAGCAUUCAAAUUUCGUCCCACACCAAGUGCACAUAUAGGUAUGGGACCACCUAGCUUUAGUAUAUUUUUUUACAUUCUCUACUUCCUAAGUGCAAUUGUUACUCAGCAUUGGAAUAAACAAGCAAUUCUAGAAGUGCUUUUCUUUUGGGGCUGGCGUAGUAUUUCUUUUAAGGUACUGUUGGAGAUGCUCUAAGUGUAACUGUGCUGGUUGUCACAUCCAAAUGAUCUUCCUAGGCAGAACCACAAACAAAAAGCGCUGAUCAAAUAUGCUUCAGGAGGGUAGAGGGUCAGCUCAAUGGCAUGCAAUUCAGAAAAAGGGAGAACAUCAUUGCCCUCCAUCAGCAAUCCAUUCAUAGGUUCAGGCUCAUUUCCAGGCCCAGCACGGUCACCCUAAGCAAAUUUCACUUGCAAUGGCCACUGGUACUUUCUCCCAAGCCAGAAAACUGCCUCUUUAUAUCUCAUAAUCACAUAUUCUGAUCCCAUAUGCACUGCCUAUCCAUGUGCCACCGAGGUGUGGGGGUGAGGAGCAGAAGGGCUACGAACGUUCAGAGCAAAGCACAUCAAAGCACACAGGACUGCAGGCGUGGAUCAAGUAAAGAACAUGGGUGUCCACAUGUAUGCCUGAUAAGUGAUAAUCUUUAAAAGGGAUCAAAGUUAGUAAGCAUAAUCCAAGAAUACACUUGUAAUUAGAUCAGAUCCAAAUACACCAGAUAGCUUAAGUUAGAGUUUGGGUGGGUUGGAAAACCUGGUUGGGUGCUCGUUGCCAGGAAGUGCAUGAUUUUGGGUGGGUUGGAAAACCUGGCGAAGGGCCCAACGAGACCUGGGCACCUGGCGUAGGGUGGUGGCGGCCACCCAGUCAUCGCCACGAGAGGGGGGAGAGAGAGAGAGCACGCAGGGAGAAGAGGAAGGGAGAAGGAAAGAAGGGGGGUGAAGGAGAGAAGAUGGAAAAAAAUUUAAAUGUCCCACAGGAAACUAAAAGGGAAGAAAAGAAGAUCACCACUGCAACACAUUAGGAGGAAAGUAUACAUGUUCCAUCCAUCAAGUAGUAGUAGUGAAAACAUGCUUGUGAACGCUACUCCCUAUCAGAGCAUCUCCAGUAGUUCCCAGAAACACACUCCCAAUCUUGGUUUUAUGGCAGGAUGGAAAGAAAGCUCUCCAACAACUCUGCAUCAUAACUCCCAAUGUCUCUGCACUUGGGAAAAUAGAUCGAUACAUGCGUGAACAGCAUAGAAACAGCACAAACGUAGAGAAGCUUUUCACAAACAUGACCAAAAAAAGCACAACCAAGCUCAUGACAAUAAUUUAGCAUGUCUAUCAUUUGGAUUGAUCAAUCCAGAUUGAUCAAAGCCAUGGCACAAAAUUAGGACCACUAACACCAAUGCCAGUUACCCAAAGGGAUUUCCAAGCUAGUGCCUCAGGACACAGAAGUAAAGACGCAUUAGGGAACCAGUUAUAAGUAUUGGUGGAAGAAUAAAAGUAGUAAAUAAGAGUGUGGAGAAGAAAUAAAAUCAUUCUUUAGAACAAAAUGAGCAACUCAUCCAGUUAAGCUUGGGCAUCCCAACCAAAAACAUGAAGAAUAUAUGCAUCAAAUCUACCCGAGUCAAGAAUCUUAUAUGACAUCAAAUCGAACUCAGAUUUGUCCCAUCGGUAUCAUGAUCCAGGUCCCAAGUUGAAAUCACAGCAAAAGAAGGAUACAUGAAGGAAAUAGAAUCAUAGACAAAAGUAUAUGACAGAAUAGAAAGAGUAAUGUCACAUUGAAUGGCUCAGAUUUGCCCCAACAUCAACACAACACUCGCAGAAGAAACAUGAACUCCUCCCUCCACACGCUAAACGAACUUUUGAGUAGGAUUGUUCACUUGGAAAUAUAAACGACACCACCGCCACAGCAAUGGCAACAAUCAGUUGCAAACUGGUUGCUUGUAUAUGGUACAAGCCAUCCAAGUUUAACAAUAUAUUGAGCAAAAUACCAAACCCUAAAUCCUAAACCCUAAACAAUUCAACACAUUCAUCCCAUUACUUGAAAUCCAUGUCCCAAG
rnacentral:lncRNA from 1 species